GAUGAACGCUGGCGGCGUGCCUAAUACAUGCAAGUCGAGCGAACAGACGAGGAGCUUGCUCCUCUGACGUUAGCGGCGGACGGGUGAGUAACACGUGGAUAACCUACCUAUAAGACUGGGAUAACUUCGGGAAACCGGAGCUAAUACCGGAUAAUAUAUUGAACCGCAUGGUUCAAUAGUGAAAGACGGUUUUGCUGUCACUUAUAGAUGGAUCCGCGCCGCAUUAGCUAGUUGGUAAGGUAACGGCUUACCAAGGCGACGAUGCGUAGCCGACCUGAGAGGGGGAUCGGCACACUGGAACUGAGACACGGUCCAGACUCCUACGGGAGGCAGCAGUAGGGAAUCUUCCGCAAUGGGCGAAAGCCUGACGGAGCAACGCCGCGUGAGUGAUGAAGGUCUUCGGAUCGUAAAACUCUGUUAUUAGGGAAGAACAAAUGUGUAAGUAACUAUGCACGUCUUGACGGUACCUAAUCAGAAAGCCACGGCUAACUACGUG
rnacentral:rRNA from 1 species